CGGCAGGCUUAACACAUGCAAGUCGAGGGGGUAUAGUUCUUCGGAAUUAGAGACCGGCGCACGGGUGCGUAACGCGUAUGCAAUCUACCUUUCACAGAGGGAUAGCCCAGAGAAAUUUGGAUUAAUACCUCAUAGUAUAGCAGUUUCGCAUGAAAACCACUAUUAAAGUCACAACGGUGAAAGAUGAGCAUGCGUCCCAUUAGCUAGUUGGUAAGUAACGGCUUACCAUGGCUACGAUGGGUAGGGGUCCUGAGAGGGAGAUCCCCCACACUGGUACUGAGACACGGACCAGACUCCUACGGGAGGCAGCAGUGAGGAAUAUUGGACAAUGGGCGCAAGCCUGAUCCAGCCAUGCCGCGUGCAGGAUGACGGUCCUAUGGAUUGUAAACUGCUUUACACAGGAAGAAACAACGCUACGUGUAGCGUCUUGACGGUACUGUGAGAAUAAGGAUCGGCUAACUCCGUG
rnacentral:rRNA from 1 species